rnacentral:tRNA from 3 species
UGGGGCGUCGCCAAAUUGGUAAGGCAGCGGCCUUUGGAGCCGCCAUUUGCAGGUUCGAGUCCUGCCGCCCCAACCA